GUGGAUUGAUAGUCCUUUUAGUGUAGGGAGCGGCGAACGGCUGAGUAACACGUUGGUACCUACCCCAGACUCAGGGAUAACCUCGGGAAACCGAGACUAAUACCGGAUGCCCCCGCAAGGGGAAAGCUUUUUGCGGUCUGGGAGGGGCCUACGGCCUAUCAGGUAGUUGGUAAGGUAACGCCUUACCAAGCCUAUGACGGGUAGCUGGUCUGAGAGGACGACC
rnacentral:rRNA from 1 species